CUGUUCCUUCCUUCUCAGGGCGGAGGAGCCCUCCUGUGCCUGACCUGAGAUGUUCAAAGUCUCCGGUCCAGAGAACCUUCCCUCUUGCUGUAAAGUCUCCUCUUUGUGAAGUAAGCUUCUCAAAGCCCGUCCUUACCUGCGUUGGGAUUUGUUUUAUUUUUGUUUUGUACAUUUGUGACAUUCUGUUUGAUUAAAUUGGUUGACAAUCACACAAAUUCCUUAACCACAAUGAGGAAUGCAUGAUGGAGGCUCACUGUGGCAGCAUAUGGAAAUACAGUGAGCCUUGGAAGUCUGAUCUGCAAGAACAGACCUCAUCACGGCCUCAUGGACUGGAGCUCACGGCACACCCUCACGGGACAAUUGGGGAGAUGGUCACGAAACUGAAGGAUCAAGGUUAAGGGAGCCAGCACGGAGCACACUCACAUCUCAAGGAGGGUU
rnacentral:lncRNA from 1 species